UGUCAGAGACUCAAACAGACAACUAAAAGGAAAGAUGAGCCUUUACAAAGAAUACUAAGGUAAUGUGUAGAAACCUAUGUACAAGUUAUAGAAGAUCGCCAAACGAAAUCUCAGUCUCACCUUUGCAUCAUGCAUGCAGCAUGCACUCGAUAUUGCACGAUUAGUAGUUCAUAGACGAGUCUUUUUUUUUUGAUUACGUGUGCUUAUUGAUAAGGCCAAAAGGUGUGUCGGAGGUUCAACCAAGUAAACCAGAGUCUGCUUAAUAAAGGCUUCCGUAAAGUUGAACAACAUCAAGCGAAGUGCCUUAAAGAGGUGAAAAGUCAACUGCCAAGAAGAGAAUCAGAACGACGGAAUCAUCAUCUGUAUCGGCACUGUGACAUUCUUACAGCCAUUGAAACCCGACUUUCUUUACUCAAUAUGACUUUUAUGAAGUAUGUUGAUUGCCAGAUGUGCUGCUUUAUACCGGGAAAGUGUUAGGUACCUUCACACUAAUAAGGCUUAUGAUAACUCUUCAUGAUAUACAGUGUAUGAUUAAAGGGGUUUCACUUAGAGGAUGAGUAUUCUGCUGGAAGAAGACUUGAUGUAGUGCUCCCACAUUCAGGAACGGCUUUAUUUCAAGGCUGAUUAUUGCACUGCAAGUGGCUAAU